rnacentral:rRNA from 1 species
GGGUGAGAAUCCCGUCCACCGAUUGACUAAGGUUUCCAGAGGAAGGCUCGUCCGCUCUGGGUUAGUCGGGUCCUAAGCUGAGGCCGACAGGCGUAGGCGAUGGAUAACAGGUUGAUAUUCCUGUACCACCUAUAAUCGUUUUAAUCGAUGGGGGGACGCAGUAGGAUAGGCGAAGCGUGCGAUUGGAUUGCACGUCUAAGCAGUAAGGCUGAGUAUUAGGCAAAUCCGGUACUCGUUAAGGCUGAGCUGUGAUGGGGAGAAGACAUUGUGUCUUCGAGUCGUUGAUUUCACACUGCCGAGAAAAGCCUCUAGAUAGAAAAUAGGUGCCCGUACCGCAAACCGACACAGGUAGUCAAGAUGAGAAUUCUAAGGUGAGCGAGCGAACUCUCGUUAAGGAACUCGGCAAAAUGACCCCGUAACUUCGGGAGAAGGGGUGCUCUUUAGGGUUAACGCCCAGAAGAGCCGCAGUGAAUAGGCCCAAGCGACUGUUUAUCAAAAACACAGGUCUCUGCUAAACCGUAAGGUGAUGUAUAGGGGCUGACGCCUGCCCGGUGCUGGAAGGUUAAGAGGAGUGGUUAGCUUCUGCGAAGCUACGAAUCGAAGCCCCAGUAAACGGCGGCCGUAACUAUAACGGUCCUAAGGUAGCGAAAUUCCUUGUCGGGUAAGUUCCGACCCGCACGAAAGGCGUAACGAUUUGGGCACUGUCUCAACGAGAGACUCGGUGAAAUCAUAGUACCUGUGAAGAUGCAGGUUACCCGCGACAGGACGGAAAGACCCCGUGGAGCUUUACUGUAGCCUGAUAUUGAAAUUCGGCACAGCUUGUACAGGAUAGGUAGGAGCCUUUGAAACGUGAGCGCUAGCUUACGUGGAGGCGCUGGUGGGAUACUACCCUAGCUGUGUUGGCUUUCUAACCCGCACCACUUAUCGUGGUGGGAGACAGUGUCAGGCGGGCAGUUUGACUGGGGCGGUCGCCUCCUAAAAGGUAACGGAGGCGCUCAAAGGUUCCCUCAGAAUGGUUGGAAAUCAUUCAUAGAGUGUAAAGGCAUAAGGGAGCUUGACUGCGAGACCUACAAGUCGAGCAGGGUCGAAAGACGGACUUAGUGAUCCGGUGGUUCCGCAUGGAAGGGCCAUCGCUCAACGGAUAAAAGCUACCCCGGGGAUAACAGGCUUAUCUCCCCCAAGAGUUCACAUCGACGGGGAGGUUUGGCACCUCGAUGUCGGCUCAUCGCAUCCUGGGGCUGUAGUCGGUCCCAAGGGUUGGGCUGUUCGCCCAUUAAAGCGGUACGCGAGCUGGGUUCAGAACGUCGUGAGACAGUUCGGUCCCUAUCCGUCGUGGGCGUAGGAAAUUUGAGAGGAGCUGUCCUUAGUACGAGAGGACCGGGAUGGACAUACCUCUGGUGUACCAGUUGUCGUGCCAACGGCAUAGCUGGGUAGCUAUGUGUGGACGGGAUAAGUGCUGAAAGCAUCUAAGCAUGAAGCCCCCCUCAAGAUGAGAUUUCCCAACUUCGGUUAUAAGAUCCCUCAAAGAUGAUGAGGUUAAUAGGUUCGAGGUGGAAGCAUGGUGACAUGUGGAGCUGACGAAUACUAAUCGAUCGAAGACUUAAUCAAAUU